UAUUGACAUAGCAACGGUGGUACAUCACAAAGUAAAUGUAACAGAGCAGUGAACAGUCAGACAUGUCAUGUAUAUAGAAUCAUGGUAUAAAAUGGUUGUGCAAAAGUAACGGAUAAACCAAAACAAACUAAUACACACAGAAAUACAAGUCUGCUGUAUUCAUAAAUCUUAGAUGCUCUAGAAGAGUUUGAUUGCUUGAAUUGUCCAUGCAUAAAGCUACUUAGUGGGCUUCUAGUGCCAGAUGUGUUUCUUGGGGACCUGCCUGAGUCCCUUUAAAGUAUUUAGUAGUAACAUUGAAUGUUUUCCAAACUCCAAAUAUUUUAUAUUUUCCAAAUGUACAGGUCAUGUUGAUUAUAGGACAUUCAUUCGUAUAUUUUGUGUUCCAGCACAGUGCAUUAUGGAGGCCGGAAGAGAGAC